GUGGCAGCAGAGUUGGAACGGGAUAGGUAGUUCCCCGUUUCCAGGACCCCAGACGGCCUGCUGGGACAGUGUAUAUGAGUCCGGAAUGGGCUGGACCAGGGUCAGGCUAGCCCAGACUUCAGGACAGGACCUUCGGGCCUCUAAAAAAAAAGGAUCAAAGAACUGAAACUCACCAGAUCACCUCACCAGAUGCUAGACCCCUCAUUCACCAUGUUUGCUUCCUUGCCUCUCCCUAGUUCUUAUUUUCUUACACAUUGUUACAUUUCUUCCCUGCUAUAUCAACCCCUAGUUCUAGUCAGUCAUGGAGAUGGAUUUGAGACUGAUCUCCCAUCCCCUCAGCUGCAC
rnacentral:lncRNA from 1 species